rnacentral:rRNA from 1 species
AAAACAGAAAGGAAUAAAAGAACAGGGACAGACUCUCGACCGAGAUGCCCUAGCGCAUUGUGGACCGAGUCGGUUGCCUCCGGGGCGACCCUGCCUUGGGGGGGGGGCUGCGGGUGGACACCUCGAACUCGUGCGUAACAUAGCACACUGAGAAAAUUGAACUAAUAAAUUGAAACUUGAGAGAGAUGAUCUCUUGGCUCUGGAAUCUAUGAAGAAGGCAUCUAAAGGCUACAGGAAAUGUGAAUAGCACAAUUAAAUGAAUCAUCUAAUGUUAAAAGGCAAAUUGACGCCCCCCUGGUAUUCCGGGGAAGCAUAGCCUGCUCCACCGGCAUUUCACCACUCACAUGUCUGUUGGAACGGGGCAACUGGCCCCGCCGCCUGCCUGAAAGCUGCGGGCUGGGUCUUCAGUCCCCUAAGGAAGGGGCAAACUAUUCGCGGAGGGGCGCCCGAGAGGCCACGACCGAAAACAAAUUCAUUUUUAACGUCGAACUCGCAGCAGGGAGGGAUACACGCAGAACUUAGCCACAUGUAUAAGCUGGAGGAAGACCUCGGAUCAGGUAGGGAUACCCGCUGAACUUAAGCAUAUCAAU